GUCGUGAGACAGUUCGGUCCCUAUCUGCCGUGGGCGCUGGAGAAUUGAGGGGGGCUGCUCCUAGUACGAGAGGACCGGAGUGGACGCAUCACUGGUGUUCGGGUUGUCAUGCCAAUGGCAUUGCCCGGUAGCUAAAUGCGGAAGAGAUAAGUGCUGAAAGCAUCUAAGCACGAAACUUGCCCCGAGAUGAGUUCUCCCUGAGACUUUAAGUCUCCUGAAGGAACGUUGAAGACGACGACGUUGAUAGGCCGGGUGUGUAAGCGCAGCGAUGCGUUGAGCUAACCGGUACUAAUGAACCGUGAGGCUUAACCUUACAACGCCGAAG
rnacentral:rRNA from 1 species